CGCUGGCGGCGCGCCAUAACACAUGCAAGUCGAGCGAGAACCAGGGCUUCGGCCCUGGGGACAGCGGCGAACGGGUGAGUAACACGUGGAUAACCUGCCCUCGGCACCGGAAUAGCCCGGGGAAACCCGGAUUAAUGCCGGAUAGCCCCACAUCCCUGCGGGGAACGUGGGAAAAGGUAGCUUCGGCCUCUGGCCGAGGAUGGGUCCGCGGUGGAUUAGCUUGUUGGCGGGGUAACGGCCCACCAAGGCGACGAUCCAUUGCUGGUCUGAGAGGACGAUCAGCCACACUGGGACUGAGACACGGCCCAGACUCCUACGGGAGGCAGCAGUGGGGAAUCUUGCGCAAUGGGCGAAAGCCUGACGCAGCGACGCCGCGUGCGGGAAGAAGGCCUUCGGGUUGUAAACCGCUUUCAGGAGGGACGAAGCCACUCGGGUUAAUAGCCCAGAGGGUGACGGUACCUCCAGAAGAAGCCCCGGCUAACUACGUGCCAGCAGCCGCGGUAAUACGUAGGGGGCAAGCGUUGUCCGGAUUCAUUGGGCGUAAAGAGCGUGUAGGCGGC
rnacentral:rRNA from 1 species